rnacentral:sRNA from 1 species
CGGUGUACGACUGCUGCGGCGAGAUCAUGUGGACGUGCGAGUCGAGGCCCGCCGCGGUGAGGAUCAACUGCUCGCCGGAGAUCGCAUCGGUGGCCGGCCCGGUGAUCAGGCCCGGCGUGACUCCGUGCAUGGUGGACGCGUUGCCCGCCUUGCCGAUACCGGCGAUCUUGCCGUCCUUGAUACCGACGUCGGCCUUCACCACGCCCAGUUCGGCGUCGAUGAUGACGACGUUGGUGAUGACGAUGUCGAGGGCGCCGGUGUCGCUCGUCGACGACGGGUCCUGGCCCAUACCGUCGCGCAG